rnacentral:rRNA from 1 species
AGAGUUUGAUCCUGGCUCAGGAUGAACGUUGGCGGCGUGCCUAACACAUGCAAGUCGAACGAGGUAGAAAUAUUUGAGUGGCGCACGGGUGGGUAACACGUAGCUAAUCUACCUCAAAGCGCGGGAUAACGUGUCGAAAGACAGGCUAAUACCGCAUAAGCUCCCGGUCUGUAGAGGAUUGGGAGAAAAGGCGCAAGUCACUUUGAGAUGAGGCUGCGGCCCAUCAGCUAGUUGGUGCGGUAAUGGCGUACCAAGGCGACGACGGGUAGGGGACCUGAGAGGGUGACCCCCCACACUGGGACUGAGACACGGCCCAGACUCCUACGGGAGGCAGCAGUGAGGAAUAUUGCACAAUGGGCGAAAGCCUGAUGCAGCGACGCCGCGUGGGUGAAGAAGGUUUUCGGAUCGUAAAACCCUUUUCUGUGUGACGAGCAAGGACGGUAGCACAGGAAUAAGUCUCGGCUAACUACGUG